CCCCCUCUGUCUUCAUUGAACACCAGAUCUCCAAGUAUUGAGAAAAGGACAAAACCCAGUGGCAGCCAAGGCCCACUCCUACAUUCCCAAACUCACAAGUCUCAAAUAAAUCAUCUCCCAUUCUCUCUGUGUGCUCUGUGCUUUCCCAACUCCCAUUAUCCCACCGUCCACUCCACUCCCGUGACUCCACUUCCAUCUUCACUACCCUCCAUUAUAACCGAACCAUUUUCUUAUCCACUUUUAUUAAUUCAUUCCUAAUCCUAAUUAAAUCCCUGAUUGCGACCUAUAAUUCACCACAACUAAUUCCAUCAUCAAAAUUAUGCAGCUCCGACGUCCUUUAAAACCCCCUUCACACCCCAUUCUCCCCUCCCCCACAGACACCACAAACCAAAAGCAUUCCCACAAACUCAAAUCCAUGGCCGCUCUCCUCUCCUUCGCCCUCCUCUCCCUCCUCCUCUUCUUCACCCUCUCCUCCGCCGCCCGCCACCGCAAACCCUACCAGACCUCCGCCGCCACCAACAUUGUCCAGGAGCUCUGCAAGGCCUCACGGGACCCUCCCAGCUGCCGAUCAUCGCUGCCCGAAUUGCCGCCGGACGCCACGGUUUUGCAAGGGAUCCAAUCGGCUCUGCAGGUUUCCUCGAAGAAUCUGAACACGGGUCGGGGGAUGGUCCAGCAGAUCCUGGACGCGUCCGCCACCAAUCCCAACCGCUCCGCCGCCGCGAAAACCUGCCUCGAAUUGCUGCGCUACGCGGAUCACCGGGCGAAUCUGGCGGGAGCCGACGCUCUGCCACGUGGAAGGACCAAGGACGCCCGUGCAUGGAUGAGCGCCUCGCUGGUCUAUCAGUACGACUGCUGGUCGGCGCUCAAGUACGUGAACGACACCUCCCUCGUCGACAAAACCAUGGCGUUUUUCUACUCCUCCGUGAUCGGCUCCGGCAGCAAUGCGCUGGGGAUGGUGGCGAGUUAUGAUAUUUUCGGGGAUAGAACCGGGUUGUGGGGCCCGCCCAAGACCGAGCGGGACGGGCUCUGGGAACCCGGGUCCGCCUCGCCCAGGUCCGGCCUGACCGGAGGCGUGCCGACCGGGCUGAAGGCGGACGCUACGGUGUGCAAGGGGUGCGACUACGAGAGCGUGCAGCGGGCGGUGGAUGCCGCCCCGAAUAACGCCGGGCCGGGCAGCCGGUUCGUGAUAUGGAUCAAGGCCGGAGUUUAUGAGGAGACGGUUCGGGUGCCCUUGGAGAAGAAGAAUGUGGUUUUUUUGGGGGAUGGGAUGGGCAAAACGGUCAUUACAGGGUCCAUGAACGUGGGCCAGCAGGGCGUGUCUACCUACAACUCCGCCACAGUCGCUGUUGUUGGUGAUGGAUUUAUGGCCAGUGGUCUCACCAUCCAGAACACAGCAGGCCCUGAUGCUCAUCAAGCAGUAGCGUUCCGGUCAGACAGCGAUCUCUCCGUCGUGGAAAAUUGUGAAUUCCUUGGCAAUCAAGACACCCUGUACGCACACAGCUUGCGCCAGUACUACAAGUCAUGCCGCAUCCAAGGCAAUGUCGAUUUCAUAUUCGGAAACUCCGCUGCAUUCUUCCAAGACUGUCUCGUCCUGGUUGCCCCUCGCCAAUUGAAACCAGAGAAGGGCGAGAACAAUGCCGUGACAGCCCAAGGAAGGAUAGAUCCCGCUCAAUCAACGGGUUUCGUCUUCCAAGAUUGCGUGAUCAACGGCACGGAUGCGUACAUGGCGCUGUAUUACAGCAAGCCCAAGGUACACAAGAACUUCCUUGGUAGGCCAUGGAAAGAGUAUUCGAGGACUGUUUUCAUCCAUUGUACCUUCGAGGCUCUAAUCACACCAGAUGGUUGGAUGCCUUGGAGUGGCGAUUUCGCACUCAAGACCUUGUAUUACGGUGAGUUUGAAAAUCGAGGACCGGGAUCGGAUAUAUCGAAGCGAGUAAGCUGGAGCAGCCAGAUUCCGGCCGAGCAUGCUGAUGUGUUUUCGGUGGGGAAUUUCAUCCAAGGCAAUGAAUGGAUCCCUGCAUUUUCGCCGUGAAAUCGACCUCUCCUAUUGCAGUUGCAGAAUUAUUGUAAAUGGGGCAACAGAUCGAUUGUACUAGACAGGAAAUGUCUCAGACUAAUGAUGUGUCUGAAUACUCCUCGAUUGGUCAUGGUAAUGCUAUGUUUUGAAGAGAGAAUAAAUUUGAAGUGUGGAGGCGGCUGAAGUGAGAAUUGGCUCUUGUUGACGUAGCUGGAUUGCCUUAGAGCGUCCAUCCAAAUUGCAACUUGAACCGUUAAGAAAUCCCAACUCUGUUGCGCCAACUAUCGACUCAAUUGCUCAACGUUCGACAACGAAAUUGACGGACAAUCCAACCAAAGGGCUUUAAACGCCCUCGGUCUAUUUUGAGUUUCGACAUUAAGCCCAUAUUUGAUUGAGUGUUUUUGGAGGUUGGAAAUGGAUUCAAUUAAUUGAAUCUAUUAUUUGUUGUUUGAUUUGGAUAAUGUGUUAACCAUUACCCUUACUUGAGAGUAACCCAAUCUCCCAAAUUGUUAUUCCUCAAAAUAGAGGGGAAACAAAAGAAUGAAAAUUCCUUAGUAAUGAUUCUUUUCCAUUGCUAAUCAAACACUCAAUAAAAAUAAUAGUUAUUGCUAUCA